rnacentral:rRNA from 1 species
AUUGAACGCUGGCGGCAGGCCUAACACAUGCAAGUCGAACGGUAGCACAGAGAGCUUGCUCUCGGGUGACGAGUGGCGGACGGGUGAGUAACGUCUGGGAAACUGCCCGAUGGAGGGGGAUAACUACUGGAAACGGUAGCUAAUACCGCAUAACGUCGCAAGACCAAAGUGGGGGACCUUCGGGCCUCACACCAUCGGAUGUGCCCAGAUGGGAUUAGCUAGUAGGCGGGGUAAUGGCUCACCUAGGCGACGAUCCCUAGCUGGUCUGAGAGGAGGACCAGCCACACUGGAACUGAGACACGGUCCAGACUCCUACGGGAGGCAGCAGUGGGGAAUAUUGCACAAUGGGCGCAAGCCUGAUGCAGCCAUGCCGCGUGUAUGAAGAAGGCCUUCGGGUUGUAAAGUACUUUCAGCGGGGAGGAAGGCGGUGAAGUUAAUAACUUCACCGAUUGACGUUACCCGCAGAAGAAGCACCGGCUAACUCCGUGCCAGCCGCCGCCGUAA